CAGCCAUAUCUCAGUGAAACACCAGGAAUCGUCCGAUCACUAAAGUUAAGCAAUAUCUCGCAUGGUCAGUACUUAGAUAGGUGACCACUUUGGAAUACUGCGUGCUGUAA